UUAGUAGUAGUAUAAAAAGUAUUUCUUCCUUCCAAGAAGACGGUCCGUUGGGUUUUGGCUGCUAAA
rnacentral:tRNA from 1 species